rnacentral:lncRNA from 1 species
UUUUCAUUUUCCUUCUCUCUUUUCUCCCGUCCAUUCAUGAGUGAGUAGGCUGAAUAAUGGCUUCCAAAGAUAUCGAUGUCCUGGAGGACAUCAUGUUAAGUGAAAUAAGCCAGGAAUGAAAAGACAAAUACCAAUGAUCUUGCUCAGAUGUGGAAUUGAAAAAAGUUGAUCUCGUAGAAGUAGAGAGUAGAAUAGAAGUUACAAGAGAAUGGAACAGUUAGGGAGAUGUUGGUAAAGGAUAAAAAAUUUCAGGUAGGAGGAAGAUGGCUUUGAAGAUGGAGGAAAGGGCCAUGAGCCAAGGAAUGCAGGCAGCUUCUAAAGGCAGAAAGCCAGGAAACAAAAUUUUCCCCUAGAUCCUCCAGAGAGAGAGUGUGGCCCUGCUGACACCUUAAUUUCUGACUUGUUUCUCCAGAACUGUAAGAGAAUAAAUAUGUGUUGUUAAUAAGCCACCAAGUUUGUGGAAAUUUGUUACACAGCAGUAAUAGAAAAUGAA